GAGCGAACGCUGGCGGCAGGCCUAACACAUGCAAGUCGAACGAACCUUUCGGGGUUAGUGGCGGACGGGUGAGUAACACGUGGGAACGUGCCUUUAGGUUCGGAAUAACUCAGGGAAACUUGUGCUAAUACCGAAUGUGCCCUUCGGGGGAAAGAUUUAUCGCCUUUAGAGCGGCCCGCGUCUGAUUAGCUAGUUGGUUGAGGUAAUGGCUCACCAAGGCGACGAUCAGUAGCUGGUCUGAGAGGAUGAUCAGCCACAUUGGGACUGAGACACGGCCCAAACUCCUACGGGAAGCAGCAGUGGGGAAUCUUGCGCAAUGGGCGAAAGCCUGACGCAGCCAUGCCGCGUGAAUGAUGAAGGUCUUAGGAUUGUAAAAUUCUUUCACCGGGGACGAUAAUGACGGUACCCGGAGAAGAAGCCCCGGCUAACUUCGUG
rnacentral:rRNA from 1 species